rnacentral:rRNA from 1 species
UACGAAGGGUGCAAACGUUGCUCGGAAUCAUUGGGCGUAAAGCGCACGUAGGCGGCCUCAUAAGUCGGAUGUGAAAUCCCUCGGCUCAACCGAGGAAGUGCAUCCGAAACUGCGAGGCUCGAGUAUGGAAGAGGGUCGCAGAAUUCCCGGUGUAGAGGUGAAAUUCGUAGAUAUCGGGGAGGAAUACCAGUGGCGAAGGCGGCGACCUGGGGCCAAUACUGACGCUGAG